GAUGAACGCUGGCGGCGUGCCUAAUACAUGCAGGUCGAGCGGUAACACUUCGGGUGACGAGCGGCGGACGGCUGAGUAACGCGUAGGAACAUACCCCAAACUGAGGGAUAAGCACCGGAAACGGUGUCUAAUACCGCAUGUGGUCUUCGGAUUAAAGCUUCGGCGGUUUGGGAAUGGCCUGCGUCCGAUUAGCUUGUUGGUGAGGUAAAAGCUCACCAAGGCGACGAUCGGUAGCUGGUCUGAGAGGAUGAUCAGCCAGACUGGGACUGAGACACGGCCCAGACUCCUACGGGAGGCAGCAGUAGGGAAUUUUCCACAAUGGGCGAAAGCCUGAUGGAGCAACGCCGCGUGCAGGAUGAAGGCCUUCGGGUUGUAAACUGCUUUUAUCUGUGAAGAUUAUGACGGUAGCAGAUGAAUAAGGAUCGGCUAACUCCGUGCCAGCCGCCGCAGUAA
rnacentral:rRNA from 1 species